rnacentral:rRNA from 1 species
UACGUAGGGGGCCAGCGUUGUCCGAAGUUACUGGGCGUAAAGAGCGCGUAGGCGGGCCUCUAAGUGGGGGGUGAAAGGUCGGGGCUCAACCCCGACACUGCCUCCCAUACUGGGGGCCUUGAGUGCGGGAGAGGCGAGUGGAAUGGUCGGUGUAGCGGUGAAAUGCGUAGAUAUCGAUCGGAACACCCAUGGCGAAGGCAGCUCGCUGGCCUGCAACUGAGCGCUGAGGCGCGAAAGCGUGGGGAGCAAACAGG